GUUUCCUUUUGUUUUCUAUAUUCAAAAUAGGUGAAAAUAGAAAAGAAUUAAAUUCUUUCAUUUGAAUGAUAAUGAUAACAAUUAAAAGAGGAUAUUUCUCAAUUUUUGAGAUGAUUGUUGAAACAGUGAUCCAGAUAAGAAAACCACAUUUCAUCAUUAGAGGUGAAUAAAAGUAUUCCCCGUUAUUUCUCUCAUUUUCAAACUUACUUAUCACCAUGAAGUACGCAAUUUUUUUCUUCGUUGCGAUCAUUUUUUCGAUUCUUCAUCUUGAAUUAGUUUCAGCACAAGAAGAUGAAAGGGUUUCAAACGGAAAGAGAGAGGUAGUACGACUAGAGUCGAGCAAGAUUUUACAUGCUCUGUCUAAGACAAGUCCUUAUAACUGUCGUAGGAGAAAAUGUAGGAGAAGAAAAUCUUCCACUCCAAAACAAAAGAAUUGUGGGCGUACCACAAUACCAACACCAAUACCAAUAGAUCCAAGAAUUACUAUUGGUCUUCCUAUUCCCCCUGAAUUAUCUGCUAACAUACCUAAAUGAAUACAAAUGAUGAAUGUUUUUUUCUGCAUUAAUGGUUUCAAACUAAAUAAUAAUUUUUUGUUCAGAAUGGUCCCUUCUUACAAUAAUAUAGUAGCCCUGUAUUAAAUUGUUCAAAGCUAUCUAGGUAAUGAAUAAAAUUUGAAAUAAUAGGUAAUUGAUUUUAAUGAAGUAAUGGCUCUUUAACUGAAUGAACUUACCCAAAGAAUAUGACGGUGAAAAAAUUUAUCUCGAUUUCAAGAAAAUAAGGUGAAUUGAUAUAUGUAUACUAUCUUACAUUUUCCUUGCAUAUGAUCCAAAGUUCAUGACAGUAUUUCUCAUUGAAAUUUCAAAUUCAUCUUAUCAUAAAACAUUAUUUAUUAUUUAUAAACUAAACAGCCCAAAAUAUCAAGAUUUAACCCAAAUCACCAAGACGAAUGGUGUCUGAGAGAAGGUUUUAUUUCAAAAUUAAUAAAUUAUUCGUGCCACUUACACUAAAAUAAUUGUUAUAUUCAGAAGAAUAUACACGUAUUCAUAUUUUGUGAUCAAGAAACCAUAGUUGAAAUAUUUCCAAUUACUUAUAAUACACCCUGUACACAAUAGAUAAACAUUGUUUGUUGUUACAGUACAGUAAUGAAGCAAUACAAAUUGUUAUAUGUUUGGGGGCUAUUAAUUUGAUAAGUAAACGUAAACCACGGUGUGAAAUUUCCUGGAAAAUUGUACACUUAUCUGUUUAAUAAGGUUAUCUUAUCCCACAGGAUGUGAGGGAUAAAUUAUACUUUAAUUUUUACAUCACUUAUUGUUGAGCUCACAAGAGAACCACAAGUAUUUUAUAUAGUAAUUAUACAAGAUGUUAUCAGUUUUUUUUAAAUUGACAUUGAUGAUUUUGAUAUUAUCCAUUGUUGUGAGUGAGUGCUGGGGUCCUUCUUAUGUUGCACAGAAAGAAACCAACUGGUUGGACAACUUACACCCUGCCAAAAUUUUUAGAGCUUUGGAAAAACAGCUUGGGAAAGCUAUUUCUGCUAUAAAAGGAACAUGAGAGCCAGUAGAGAAUGGAGAAGUGUACAUGAGAGA